rnacentral:rRNA from 1 species
UACAGAGGGUGCGAGCGUUAAUCGGAAUUACUGGGCGUAAAGCGUGCGCAGACGGUCAUGUAAGUCGGGUGUGAAAGCCCCGGGCUCAACCUGGGAAUUGCAUUCGAGACUGUGUGGCUAGGGUGCGGAAGAGGGAAGCGGAAUUUCCGGUGUAGCGGUGAAAUGCGUAGAUAUCUGGAGGAACACCGGUGGCGAAGGCGGCAUCCUGGACCGGUAUUGACGCUGAUGAGCGAAAGCGUGGGGAGCAAACGGG